rnacentral:rRNA from 1 species
UACAGAGGUCUCAAGCGUUUGUUCGGAUUCAUUGGGCGUAAAGGGUGCGUAGGCGGCGCGGUAAGUCGGGUGUGAAAUCUCGGGGCUUAACUCCGAAACUGCAUUCGAUACUGCCGUGCUUGAGGACUGGAGAGGAGACUGGAAUUUACGGUGUAGCGGUGAAAUGCGUAGAUAUCGUAAGGAAGACCAGUGGCGAAGGCGGGUCUCUGGACAGUUCCUGACGCUGAGGCACGAAGGUCAGGGGAGCAAACGGG